UCCCGUUUAGCUCAGUUGGUAGAGCGCGUUACUAGUACAAACAUGUAGUAAAGGCCUGAAACGACGAGGUCAGUCGUUCGAGUCGCCUAGUGGGAA